rnacentral:tRNA from 1 species
GCUUCCUUAGUUAAAUGGAUAUAACGGCCCCCUCCUAAGGGGCAGUUGUGGGUUCGAUUCCCGCAGGAAGUACCA